AAUGACGCGAAACUCCUGCCUUAAAGCCCUAAAUGGCGGCUUCAAUAUCAGUCCCACUGAGCAUGAAAUUCAUUUACUUAAAUAAAAUCUGAAUCUCAGCCCAAACCUGGGAGAUUCAAAACCUGAGAGCGGUCUUACCAAAGACGCCCGUAUGUCUGGUGAAGUCAGUUGGAUGCAAGCAGUUUGUGCUGGUACCAGGGCCCCAGCUACUGAUGAAGUGGCAGGAGUCCACAGAAGCCUACUUCGAAGUUCCCGGGGCUUCCAGGGGAGAUUGACGAGAUUCCUGGGGAGGCGAUUCAUGACAGCUGAGUUCCUUUUGGAGGAUCCGUCUUCAGGCAGUCUGAUCCCCCAGGAAAGCAGCUGGAAAACAAGAGCAUGUGAAGGAAGCGCAGCAGCUCCUCGCCAGCCAGACAGCCAGCCCCGCACCGCAGGAGUCGACAUGCACGGCAGCCUAGACGCCAUCAGUUAAACUUAUAUGUAGGCUUGUUGAGGAAAACGACUUUCAAACACAAGGCAAAAGAAAAACAUGAAACCAAGGGUUCCAACAUUCAUCAUCCAGUUUCAGAGACACCCUUGAAGGAAUGCUACAGCCUCUUUCUUACCCAUUCAAACCAGUCGCUCUGCUGCAUACCCACAUCACAGGAGGCCCUCAGCCCCGACACACAGGCUCACUCAGCCCGGGGACAUCAGCACCUGUGCCAGCUCCGCAAGGUAUCCACCAUGCGGCCAGAACUGAGGCCCAGCAAUAGCUGAAAUGUCCUUUAAAUUAACAUGUACAACACACAACCCCCAAGAGCUGACAUCCCCAAAGCCCCACCACAAAUAGCUGACUCCUACUUAUACCUGCAGGAGCAGGUAGUGACCUCUGCAAUUCUAAACCGUCCACUUUGGGCAAAAUUCAUCAAGCUAUGGAUAUGAAAAAAGGCCCCCAAGGAUAUGAUUCAUAGUCCAGCGUUUGAGUGAGCACUCCAGUCAGAACGAACUCUGCAUUGUGAACAUCUGAACAGGGUGGAAACAGACACUUUAGUUAGAGAUCCACUGCUGUGCGUGCACACAUACUCACACAGGGCAAUGACGGACUCGCUGGCGGACUCCACUCUACCCACCGAGUUCUGCUUGUGCUCCAUGAGCUUCCGGAAAGAUGGCUGCUUGGAUAACACCUUUCCUCCUGCACACUCUACGAUUGCCUUCAUAGUGGAAAGACUUGGGCAGAUUCCAGGUGUGAUGUAAAAAUAUUUUGCCUAAAAUUAAAUGAAAAUAUAUG
rnacentral:lncRNA from 1 species